rnacentral:rRNA from 1 species
AUUGAACGCUGGCGGCAUGCCUUACACAUGCAAGUCGAGCGGCAGCGCGGGGCAACCUGGCGGCGAGCGGCGAACGGGUGAGUAAUACAUCGGAACGUACCCAGUUGUGGGGGAUAGCCCGGCGAAAGCCGGAUUAAUACCGCAUACGACCUGAGGGUGAAAGGGGGGGAUCGCAAGACCUCUCGCAGUUGGAGCGGCCGAUGGCGGAUUAGCUAGUUGGUAGGGUAAAGGCCUACCAAGGCGACGAUCCGUAGCUGGUCUGAGAGGACGACCAGCCACACUGGAACUGAGACACGGUCCAGACUCCUACGGGAGGCAGCAGUGGGGAAUUUUGGACAAUGGGGGCAACCCUGAUCCAGCCAUUCCGCGUGAGUGAAGAAGGCCUUCGGGUUGUAAAGCUCUUUCGGCAGGAACGAAACGGUGGUCCCUAAUACGGAUUGCUAAUGACGGUACCUGAAGAAGAAGCACCGGCUAACUACGUG